rnacentral:rRNA from 1 species
GUCAAGCGAAUAAGCGUAUAUGGUGGAUGCCUUGGCAGUUAGAGGCGAUGAAGGACGUGUAAGUCUGCGAAAAGCUGUGGUGAGCUGACAAAAAGCAUUUGAGCCACAGAUGUCCGAAUGGGGAAACCCACCGCUUCGGCGGUAUCGUUAGGUGAAUACAUAGCCUAACGAAGCAAACGAGGGGAACUGAAACAUCUAAGUACCCUUAGGAAAAGAAAUCAACUGAGAUUCCCCAAGUAGCGGCGAGCGAACGGGGAGCAGCCGAGUAAUUAUGAAGUAGUGGAAUGUGUUGGAAAGCACAGCGAUACAGGGUGAUAGCCCCGUACACGAAGCG